rnacentral:rRNA from 1 species
CCUACGGGUGGCUGCAGUGGGGAAUAUUGGGCAAUGGGGGAAACCCUGACCCAGCAACGCCGCGUGAAGGACGAAGGCCUUCGGGUUGUAAACUUCUUUGAUCAGGGACGAAAAAAAUGACGGUACCUGAAGAACAAGCCACGGCUAACUACGUGCCAGCAGCCGCGGUAAUACGUAGGUGGCGAGCGUUAUCCGGAUUUACUGGGUGUAAAGGGCGUGCAGGCGGGUCCGCUAGUCGGGUGUGAAAUUUCCGGGCUUAACCCGGGCAGGUCAUCCGAAACUGCGGAUCUUGAGUACUGGAGAGGAUAGUGGAAUUCCUAGUGUAGCGGUAAAAUGCGUAGAUAUUAGGAGGAACACCAGUGGCGAAGGCGGCUAUCUGGACAGUAACUGACGCUGAGGCGCGAAAGCGUGGGGAGCAAACAGGCUUAGAUACCCCGGUAGUC